UGAGGAAUAUUGGUCAAUGGACGGAAGUCUGAACCAGCCAAGUAGCGUGCAGGAUGACGGCCCUAUGGGUUGUAAACUGCUUUUGUAUGGGGAUAAAGUUAGGGACGUGUCCCUAUUUGCAGGUACCAUACGAAUAAGGACCGGCUAAUUCCGUGCCAGCAGCCGCGGUAAUACGGAAGGUCCAGGCGUUAUCCGGAUUUAUUGGGUUUAAAGGGAGCGUAGGCUGGAGAUUAAGUGUGUUGUGAAAUGUAGACGCUCAACGUCUGAAUUGCAGCGCAUACUGGUUUCCUGGAGUACGCACAACGUUGGCGGAAUUCGUCGUGUAGCGGUGAAAUGCUUAGAUAUGACGAAGAACUCCGAUUGCGAAGGCAGCUGACGGGAGCGCAACUGACGCUUAAGCUCGAAGGUGCGGGUAUCAAACAGG
rnacentral:rRNA from 1 species